rnacentral:lncRNA from 1 species
CCUCCCCCCCCUCCGAGAGCUUGCGUCCUCCGCGGCUGAGGCGGCAGAGAUUGGAAUCUGCUCGCCGGCCGCGCGGGGAGGAGGGCGGAGGGAAGGGAGGAGGGAGGGAGGGUGGGAGGUUCGAGCUCCCGCGCGAGACGAGGACCGCACGGCCGCGCGAGGGGCGACAGGGCCCGGCCGCUGCGCGCCGAGGGCGGAGGCCGAGCCGGGCCCCGCCGCCCCGCGGCUGUCCGUGCCCGCCUGCGCCGAGCGCUGGAGGAUGAGUUUCUCGGGAUCCCGAGGAGGAAACCGAGACGCAGAGGUUAAAUAACUUAGAUAAGUGUGCUGGGAUUGGACUCAGGGACGUCGUAUUCAAGGGUAUGGCCCUCUUACAAAAGCAAAUUGUGCAAAGACUUAGAGCGUUUUCCAGUUAUGCAUGAAAUCCCGCGUUGCUUCAACUGUGAACGACUUGUGUUUGCUAGUGAGGGGAAUUAAACUUGGAGAUAAAGGAAAAGGUAACUUAAUCCUUAUCACUGCUCUCAGUUGAACUAAAAAGAUGUUGAAAUUUAUCAUAACUUUUUAAAGUCAGAACUAAAAUACGAACACUUUUGUAGGAACUCAAGAGUUUAUGGAAGGCAGAUUUAAAUUUGGAAUGCGUUUUUUAAUUUAACCGAUACUCUGUUGUUUAUAUCUUCCCUCCUCACAUUUUCGGUGGAGCCCUUUCAAACCUUUCUAACUGCCUUCAUUUCUCCUUACCCUUUAAGAGUGAAGCAUCCAGUGCUCUUUGCUUUGGAUUCCUUCUCAAUCUACUAUCCUUCUAGAGGAUCCCACCCACUUUACUAGUUAACACCUUGAAUCAUCCCCUUUUCCUACCUAUUGGAACAUGAUCUCUGUUGUCUUGUUUCGUUUGUUGUUGUUUUAAUACCUAGUUUCACUAUAUAGCUCAGGCAGGCCUCGAAUUGGCUAUGUAGAAUUGGCUGGUAUUUUGGGGUUUUAAAAAAAAGUACACAUGUACUUAGGAUCCUUUAAUUUACAAAAACUUUUAUAUAGUUUUGCUAGUCUUAUAAAAGUAAUACAUGGUCGUUAAAGAGAAAUUGCAAAAUUGAGCAAAAUUGAAGUAAAAUUAAAAUACAGUCAUCUAUAAUCCCUCCCGGAGAGACUGCCAGGAGUAGACUUACUUUUCCUCCUUGGGCACUGGUGACCAUCCAUUGACUUGACGCUGUGUUGACAGGAUUUCACAUUCAGGAAGGAACUAUAUAGCCUAAUCAGAUCCAAGCACUGUUCUGAGGAAGUAUCUGCUAGGGAAGCCCCCCUGCAACUGAGCUACACUCCCAGUGUAGGAUCCUUAAACCGGAUCCUUGCUGUUCACUCACCUAUAUGUUUCAUCAGAGGAAUAUGUACUGUUUUCUGAUACACUAAGGGGGGGGGGCAACCACACAUACUAUCCUGGAGCUUCAAGUCUAGUGGGGGAGACAUGUGGAAGGCUGAGUUCUAUAUAAUUAAGUGUAAUUGUGAUGAUAAUUAAAGUGUAGGGUAUUAUAAAAGCUUAAAGUGGAGACCUGACCUGGUGCUGGUGUUGCUGAAUCUAGGAAGACCUCCCUAAAAUGUUAUUUUGCAUUCUGACACAGUUGUGAAAUUAGGUGAAAAGGGGGCUUCUGUGACAUGGUGGCUUUAUUCUUUUUAUGCCCUCUUUUUACCUCUGUUCUUACUCCUUUCUCCUAAUUAUUCUCAAUGUUUUCCAGGUUUCACUUUUCACAUCAGUUUUUAAAAAUAUUUCUAAGUCCCUUGAAUUAUUUCACUUAUUUCUGUGUGUAUGCUGCCACACUCGUGGAGGUCAGAGUGCAGCUUGCAGAAGUGAGUCUUUCCUUCCACCAUGUGUGUUCUGAGAGUUCAUGUCAUCAGGCUUGGUUGGUGGCAGGCACCUUUCUUUACCUGCUGAGCCAUUUGGUUGGACCUCCCAUGAAUUACUGUUCAGAUUUUUUUCUGUCUGGUUAUUUUUCAAAUCCUGAUCUGCCUUCUGAACUUGAGGCCUUCUGCCUGCUUUAUGUAAAAAACUGUACCUGGUAGUCUAGUUCAGAUGAACUCUUCCUUAGUGGUUGGCUUAUAGUGCUACCUAUCCCUGUUAAUGGAUCAAGCCCAAUUCUCUCCCCAGUCCUUCUUGAGUCUAGUCUGUAGCCAACAUCUGUAGAUCCUGCUUUUGUUCCUGAUACUGUGACUCUUCUUUGUAUUCCUGCCAACUCUGAUACAAGUCUUAGUUUGUGCUGGUAUUGGGAUUAUAGUGGUUAUAGAAUAAUUGGGUAGCUUUCCUUCUUGCUGUCUUUUCAGGAGCAGUUUGAACUGGGAUUAUUGCCCUUGAAUGACUGACAUUAUAUUAUAUAUAUAUAUAUAUAUAUAUAUAUAUAUAUAGUAUGUAGUGUGUAUGUAUGUAUAUGUGUGUGUAUAUGACCAUUUAUAUAAUACACAGACACACACACACACACACACACACACACACACACAAAACCAUUUAGGCCUAGAUCUUUUUUUUUUCUGGAGAAGACUCUUCAAUUCUUCAAUUUAUUUAAUAUUUUAUUGGUUUGGUAAAAUGUCUAUUUCUUCUGUGAAUUUUAGAGCUUCGUAUUUUUUUAAGAUUUGUUUUUAUUUUUAAUUAGUUGUAUACAUGUAUGUCUUUGUGUGGGUUUGUAUGUGCUUGUGAAUGUGUGUGUCCAGGGAAGUCAGAAGAGGGUGUUGGUUUCCCUGGAGCUAGAGUUUCAGACAGUUGUGAGCCAUGCAAAGUCUGCCUGGGAAGCAAACUUUGUUCCUCUUCGAGAACAGCAAGAGCUCUUAUUUUCUGAGCCAUCACUUUAGCCCUGGGUUUCAUAUAUUUCUUUUAUCCCAGGAAUUUAUUUCUUGAGGUUUCCAGAAAUAAUUUUUGUAUUAAAAAUGAUUUUUUAUUAAUUCAUGAAUUUCAUAGUGUAUUUUGGUUGUAUUCAUCCAUCAAGCCCCCAGAUCUAUCCUCCACCCUAAUCUCCCUAUCCAUCCAACUUCGAGUUUUCUUUUUUAAAACAAUUUUUUGUUGUUGUUUUUCGAAACAGGGUUUCUCUGUGUAGUAGCCCUGGCUGUCCUGGACCUUGAUCUGUAGACUAUGCUGGCUUUUAACUCAGAUCUGCUGCCUCUGCUUCCCAGGUGCUAGGAUUAAAGAUGUGUGCCACCACUGCCCAGCCUAAACAUUUUUUAAAAAAUAAACUCAUCAUUCAGUUUGUGUUGCUCAGCUACCCUUGGAAGUCAGGCCUUCCCUGAGUUAUUAGUCUACCAGGAAUCACACCAUUAAAUAAAAGUGACUCCCUCUCUUAGCAACCAUCAAAUGCCAAUAGCUCCUCAGCUACUGGUGGGAUUUCAUGCCUACCCCUCACCCCCAUGCUGGGAUUUUGUCUGGUUUGAGUUUGUACAGGUCUUGUGCGUGCUGUCAUAGCCACUGUGAGUUUCUAUGUGCAAGUUCCCUGUUGUGUCCAGAAGACACUGUUUCCUUGCAGUUGUACACCACCUCAGUUUUCCUGUUCAUUGACUUUUACAAGAAGAUCCUUGAACCUUUCUGGAGGGGUGUGAUAUGUUGGUUCCCUUGAUGUUGAAUCUCUUCUCUGCAUAUUCACGGGUCAAGGGGCUCUGUGUUGAUUGCCAUCUUCUCUGAUGAUGAUUGAGAGAUGGUCUGAUCUAUGGGUAAAGCAAUAUGCCAUUAGUAAUCAUUUUAGUACUAUGUCUAUUUAGCAAAAUAUUGGUACUAAGUUCUUAAGUUCUCCUCUAGGGCCCACAGUUUCUUGGCCCUGUUAACAGUGCCAGUCAUGGAGGAAUAAAAUAUUUUAUUUGGUUUUCAUGUAGUUGCCCCUCUUCUACUUUAAUUUCUAUAUUUCUCUCUUUUCUGGUCUAGUCUGAGGUUGGUGGAAUCCCAUGGUAAAGGAGAAUCUACUGUAUGCUGUUCUGUUCUUGUUAAGGAACAAGGUCUUUGUUGUAUUGCUCAGGCUGGACACAGAUUCCUGGGAUAAAUAAUCUUCCUUCCAGUAGCUGGGAAUCCAGCUGCCUGCCAUUGUACCCGGCUUGUACUUAGUUUCUCAAAGUAAAUUAUAAGCCAGGUAUAGUUGUGCACACUUAAAAGCCCAGCAUUUUGGAGAUGGAGGCAGAGAGGGAUCUGAAGUUCAAGACCAGCCUGGACUACUAGAUAGUCUGUAAAAAAAAAAAAACAAAAAAACCCCAAACAAACCAAAAGCAAGUAAAUGUAAAAAUGUCUUUGAUUUUUUUAAUUAAACAAUUAUUUUAAUUUGUGUUAAUUUUUUCAACUAAUAUUUUGUUGUUGUUUUGUUUUUCGAGACAAGGUUUCUCUUUAUAGCUCAGACUGGCCUUGUUCUCAUAGAGAUCUGCCUGCCUCUGCCUCCUAACUGCUGGGAUUAAAUGCAUGCACUUCCAUUGCCCAGCCCCCAAUUAUACUUUUUUUAAGGACUGGGAAUCUGGUACAGAUGAGAAAGGAUGGAUGGGAUUUGGUUAAGGCUGAUGCCCAAGUUUCUAACUGGGGAAACAGAGUGAUUUGAAUUGAUGACUGAGAUGAAAAAAAGCUGGAGGAAGGGCUGGUCUAUGGGAAAAAAAUAGUGUAUUUUUUGCAUUGAUUGAUUGAUUGUGUACCUGUGUGGGCUCACAUGUGCCCCAAUUCUCUCUACAAUGUGGAUUCUGGUCAUUGAACUCCAAUGGGUAGGCUUGGUGGCAAGCACAUUUACUCACUGAGCCACCUUACUGGCACCAAGUAGUGCAUUUUUUUAUCUAAGGAGUUUAAAACAUCCUUUAAACAACCAAGUAGAGGUUUUGGGGACCCAGGUUGCAGCUUAGUGGUAGAGUGCAUACUUGUGAGGUAUGAAGUCCUGGGUUCAAUCUCUACCACAUACAUACAUACAUACAUUUUUUUUUUUAAAGGAUAUUUUUGGCAAUUGUAUAUAUGGACCUGGAAUUCCACAGAGGAAGGAAUCUGGAGGGCUGGAGGAAGACCAUCUGGAGGGAUUAUCAAAUAGAUUGUAUAUUUUAACCUCAGGAUUGAUUGGGUGGUUCUCAUAAGUGACUUGCUUGCAGUUUGACUGUAAGAGAAGAAAAGCCCCACUAUAUUAAAAUAAACAACUAGAAAUAAGUGUGACUGGAUCUAGUGGUGGAAUUGGGGUUCUGUCUUCUCUGUUUCUCACAUCUUGGGGUUCAUUUUUGGCCAAGGCAUUGAUUUGGCAGCGGAGGGCUUACCUGUACCUGACUGCUGUGGAUUCAGAGGGGAAGGAAACCUUUUCUAAUGGUAUAAAUCUCUUAUGCAUGUACUUGAAGGAUGAUGUGCCAUUGGUGUCUGUGCCUUCCUUCCAUACCCACUUGGGCACUGAGCUUUUAAACACCAUCUGUAGUGGCCUUUGUAGAACCAUGUGGGAUAGGCAGGUGGUAGUUUUUCUCAAAAGAUGAUAAGGGUAAAUCCACUUUGGCUCUUAGCCUUCUAAAGGUCAUUCUUUUAGAAUCUAAAGAAAAUACAACAAAAUAAUUUUUGGAACAAUUUUCUGGUUAUUCUGUGAACUUCUUCCCAGGGUCUCCUGGUAUAUUCAGUAAAAAUCUCAAGCAAUAACAAUUUAAGGCCUGAAUAGAGAAGACUGACAUUGUCAGUUCCUGUGACCAAGGAACUCUGGCUGUUUAGAACAAAAGUGUUUUAGAAUGUGGCAUGUAGAGUAAGAGGGAGGAUGUUUGUUUUAAAAGCAAACAUUUUUGUUUCUGUUUUUUAAAUUAUGAGAGCAAUACAUCCAGUAUGGAUAAUCUAGGAACUAUGAAAAACUACCCCCCAAAAGCAGUAAGAAUGAUAACUUUGGGCUUCCAAUUUGAUGGAAAAUGUCUAGUACUGUUUCUACUGCAAAGUGGCUAUGCAUCCUUGGAUAUCACACAAAACUACUAGCAUCUGUCUUAAAAGGGAAAGAAAACAUGUGACCUUUCAGGUCUUUUUCUUACUGCAGAGAAAGGAAGGAAGAGGGUUCAUCUUAAGGGGAACCUGAGUUCUAUGCCAGGUGUCCAUGUGCUGGAGGGAGAGAACCUAGUCCUACAAGUUGUGCACUGCUCUUUCAAAUAAAACUAAAGGAAGAAAAAAAGUCCAUGAGUUCCAUGCAGAGCAGUUGCUGACACUUCAGGUCAUAUUGUGCUUUGGGUCCUGAUGGCAUUGCUGGAUUCCUGACUUGCCAGAAACCCGCUCUUUUAGCUGGCAAUGUUUGCAAGUAAGAAAGGGAAUGGCACCUAGUAUGGUGGCGUCAAGGUCAGCCUGGUCUACAAAUUAAGCUCCAAUACAGCCAGGGCUACACACUGAGAAUCUUGUCUUGAAAGAAAAGAAGAGAAGAGGAAAGAAAAGAAAAAAGAUUACUAACAUAUUACCAAAAUAAGCCUCAUCAUUUGUGUUUGUUAAAUUGGGAGGGGGCAUUCUUAUUACAAUAUAAAAUCUAAAUCCUCUGAGACUGUCUUUUUCUGGCCCAGGCUGCAUUUGCUGCAGUGUUUGCUUCAUACUUACUACCUUGUUGUUAGCCUAAGUUGCCUAAAUACACCUUUCUGGAGCAUUCUAAAUCUUUGGAUCUGUAUUGAUCACUGCAGUACCCCUACUACAUGCAGCAUUUGAAAUGUGGCUAGUCUGAAAUUUGUCAUGGUGUAAAUUAAAUUACACAGCUAUUCUAAUAGUGCAAAAAUGUAAAAUACCUGUGCUUUCCAAAUGUUGAUUACACAUUGAAAUACUACUUUGAAUUCACUGGGUUAAGGAAAUUUUUAUUUAGUGGGUUUUUGUUGUUGUUUUAUUUUUUUUGGCAGUCUCCCUGUGUUGCUCACAGUAGCCUUGAACUCUGAACUCACAGUCUCUUGGCUCAGCUUCCUGAAUGCUGGGAUUACAGGUGUAUACUAUUGCACUUGGAUUUUUUUUUAACCCCUCCUUUUUUUCCAGUUAGCAGAAGUUCUGUAAUCCUCACCUCCCAUUACUACUGAUACAGGCAUAGGGAUUAGUUUAAUCUUUCUUUUCCAUUGUCUUUAUUUCUUCCAUCCGUUCUCUUCCCUAUCCAAAAAUAGGUCAUAAAAAAAAAAAACUUUGUGUUUUCAUUGGCUAUAUGAGCAGUAAUUUUGUGUGAGCACAUUUUGAUUUUCAUUCUUUUAAAAUAAUUGGUAUUCCAUUUUAUGGAUACACUUGAGUCUUACUUGCUUUUGAGACAGGGCCUUGCUGUUUAACAGUGCCUAUCCUCCUGUCUGUGUCCUGAGUGGUAUGACUGCAUGUAGGUGUUCACCAUUACCAGUCCCCGAUUCAUUAACAGUAAGAUUGUUUCCAGUUUUUUUUCUUUUGAAUUAUAAAUAGUGCUGUUUUACUCUGUGAAACUACUUUGUAGGAUAAAUUCUUACAAAUGUAUCUACUCUAAGAGAACGUGCACAAACUUAAUAGAAAGUACCUGUUUGCCCUGUCAAAGCUUUACAACUUACAUCCCAACUAACAAUGUUUGUGUGUAUUCUUCCCCGGGGCAAGUAUAAGUCUGUUUUUACUUUUCUAAUCUGCCAUCUGAAAAAGUUACUCCUGUGACAAAAUUUCUUUGCUGUUCUGAGGAUUAGCUUAUGCUCUGAAUUUGUCAUAAACUUCUUGGUGGGUGAAUUUUGCCCUAAACUAUUUUGUAUUGCUAACAGUGGAACUGAAAUAUUUUAUAAAAUGAAAGUGCACACGUUUGUGUGUGUUAACGGCAACAGGGUCCAAAGUAUGCUUCUGUGUCUAUGUCAUGAAAAUUAUUUUGACCUGAAGGCAUUUGCAAAUAGAAUUUUGUCCCAAAUUCCUUACUUGCCUAAAGCAGAGCUUUCCAAGAGAGCUCACUAGUCAUUCAUAAGCUCUUCACAAAGCUCCUUCUUUUGGAAUUUUGAAACCUGGGAAGAUUGAGUCUUACUAGAGAGAAUUUGUCACCACACAUAAAUAGACACUGCUACAAAUCUACCAUCUCUCUGUCUGCCUCCGAAUCACCACUUGUUGUUCCUAAAAUUUACUUGUUUUUACGCUCUUUGUGUUACUUGGGCUUCCUUGGUAAGAUAGAUUGCUCCAAAUUCUUAUGACAGUGUGUGUGUGUGUGUGUGUGUGUGUGUGUGUGUGUGUGUGUGUGUGUGUGUGUUUAACUCUUAGGCUCUAGUUGUGGAACCUAAAGAGAAUAGAGGACAAUCUUUUUCUGUUCAGUAAUGGCUAGAUUCAUCCUUACCCCAGCAUCUGGGUAAAGAUAAACAAAGUGAGGUUUCUCUAAAACAUACUUAAAAAUAGUAUUAUUUAAAAAUAUAUAAAAAUGCUUUAAGCAUGAGUAAAAUUGCUCUAAACUGAAUUUUCUAAAAUCUGUUCUCCAAAAUUAAAGAUUUGUUAAGUGAGAUUGAAUAUACUAUUAGAUGUACUUCUCUACAUACUUAUCCCAUCCCUGCAUAUAUAUUCCUGCAGCUGUAGUGAUAAAUUUAAAAAAUUUUAAUUAAAAUUUUUAUUUUAUGUGCAUUAGUGUUUUGUCUGCAUGUAUUUAUGUGUGAGUGUGCCUGGAAUUGAAGUUACAGGCAGUUGUGAGGGGCCAUGUAGGUGCUUGGAAUUGAACCUGGGUUCUCCGGAAGAGUAGCCAUUGCUCUUAACUGCUAAACCAUGUCUGCAGCCCCCAGUCUUUGUUCUUCUGAUCACAAAAAUGAGGAAGAAUGGCAAAGCCAUUCAUUUAAGUUAAAGUUUUUUUGAAUUUUAUUAUAUUUCAUGUGUGAGUGUUUGUCUGAAUGUAUUGUAUGUCUGUGCCAUGUGUGUGUACCGCUCACAGAGGCCAGAAGAGGGCAUCAUCCCAAGACUGGAGUUACUGACCUUUGUGACCUGCCAUGCUGGUGUUGAGAACUGAAUCAUAGUCCCCUGAAGAACAGUUAAUGCUCCUAACCACUGAACUGCUUGCCUGCCUCCCUCGCUCCCUCCUUCCCUUUUGGUUUUUCAAGACAGG